UACAGGAACAAAGAGCUAAACGGGGACUGCAGACUCAACUCAGUUUGGGACAGCCGAGGUGGUUUGGAGACCUUGUUUGUGACUUUAGACCUAGGUGGUGAGACGGAGGGUUACGAUGGCUGUUAGCAGGUUUGACAUAGAUGCGCCGCGGUGGGAUCAGUCCACGUUUAUUGGCAGACUGAAGCACUUUGUCAACAUCACAGACUGGAGGACAGUACUACUGCCACGACUGGACGAGUCUAAAGCACUGGUGGAGAGCUGCAGGGCUAGCAGCUUCCCUUCCCCCACAGAGGAACAGCUGCAUUACGCCAAGAAGCUCUAUGACUCCGCCUUUCACCCAGACACCGGCGAUUGCAUGAACCUGAUUGGUCGAAUGUCCUUCCAAGUGCCCGGAGGGAUGGCCAGAACAGGCGGUAAGCUAUAGUUCUAUCGGACAGUCCCUGCUGUAGUGUUCUGGCAGUGAGUGAAUCAGUUGUUUAACGUUCUAGUCAACUACACCAACAGAAACGCUGCUUCCCCCAUCACCUCCAAUCAGAUAGGAGUGGCCUAUUUAACUGCAACUAGAACUGCACUAACUACUGCUGUGGGACUCAACCUCUACACAAAGAAAGCUCCUCCCCUGGUGGCGCCCUGGGUUCCAUUCGCGGCGGUGGCAUCAGCUAACUGUGUCAAUAUCCCAAUGAUGAGGCAACGAUAGCUCCUGAAUGGCAUCGCUCUAACAGAGGAGAAUGGAAACAAACUGGGUCAUUCCAAGAAAGCAGCUGUGAAGGGCAUCACCCAGGUGGUCAUUUCCCAGGUUACCAUGGCAGCACCGGGCAUGAUCAUUCUCCCCAUCAUGCAGAGACUGGAGGAUAACAAGUUUAUGCAGAGGAUCACCUUUGUCCACGGACCUUAACAAGUGAUAAUGGUGGGAGCGCUCCUGGUCUUCAUGGUGCCGGUAGCCUGGUCCCUGUUCUCUCAGCAAUGCUCCAUGGGCAGUGUACAAAAUGUCUACUUCAACAAGGGCCUCUGAACACACACACGCAUGCCUUCAUUUGGAUCCCAUUCAGAAGCAGCCUGUGUUAGUUUAAUCUGAGGUCAAGAGUCACUAUAACCAACUGUGUGUGUGUGUGUACAUAUCUCAGUGCAAAUGAAGUGUAGUGUAUUGCCCAAACAAUGUGAUGCCAUAUCAGGAAUGGACGUUUACUAAAGCCAUCAUGCAGGUGUUCUAUAGAUGGUUCUGUGGUUUUGCCCUAAGAUCUAUGCAUCAGUGUUCUGAGUCUAUGGUUCCACAGUUUAUUGUUCUAGAAUGCUUGUGUUCACAUACGCUGAAGUGAAGCGAGCCUAGCCAAUGUACGUUUGGCUGAGUGGUGAAGAAGUCAUUGAUGCCACCAGAUUUCUAUUGACAAGUAUAAUUCUCAUUGACUAAACUGUCUUGGUGCAUUUUGUUUCAGGAUUCUAGUUCCACCCUCUCUGCAGUCAGUCAAGAACUGAAAGACUGGGAUAUACAUGGGUAUUAUACACUGUGAUUCUUCUCUAAUGGAAUUAGCCUGUGCCAAGUCCUCAACAACUGGAUGUUCCAGUUUUCAGGGGAAAUGGAAAGAGCUUGUGACGCGACUUCCGUUUUUGGAUGUUAACAAGCCGACACUCAACUUAACUCCGUAACAUUUACUGUAUUGGUUGCAGUGGAGAAGAGAACCUCUCCCGUCAUUUUUCUUCUCUCAUCAAGAUCAGUAUUGCCUUGUUCAAGACAACUGGGAACUCGGAGACAAACGAGCUCCGACUGGGAAAAAUUGAUUUGAACGUCCGUCCUGCUCGGAAUUCCAAGUUGGAAACUCUUGCAUCUUUCCACAGCUCCGAGCCGAAGAUCACCGACGUCAUGAUUUGACCACGGUUAUUUCCGAGUUCCCAGUUGUCUCUAAAGCACCAUAAGUCAGGGAUCACUGGCGCUUUCGAGACAAAGUCGCUCUGGAUAAGAGCGUCUGCUAAAUGACUUAAAUGUAAAUGUAAAUGUAAACUGGGAACUGGGGGGGAAACCUGGUCAAAUCAUGACUUCAGUGAUCUUCAGGUCGGGAAGUAGGAGCUGUAGAAAGAUGCCGGAGUUUACGAUCUUGAAUUCCGAGUUGGAUGACAGUUGGAGCUCAUUUUCAGAAGUCCGAAUUCCCAGGUGGAUUUUGGACGCAGCCCUAGUUUAAGGCGUUUCUUUUACGCCUGCUAUGUUAGGUUACAUCCUUACUGAUGUAGAAGUUGUGGUAAUACAAACGUACCACCAGGGGACAAUGUCUUCUUGACAGAGAGCAACAGAAACUGAAACGCCCGCUUCCCAGAUGCAGCCCUAUUCCCUAUAUUAAAAAGUAAUUUAACUUGGCAAGUCGGUUAAGAACACAUUAUUAUUUACAAUGACAGCCUUCCCCGGGCCAAAUGUGCACCGCCCUAUGGGACUCCCAAUCCCAGCCAGAUGUGACACAGCCUGAAUUCAAACCAGGGAGUGUAGUAAUGCCCAACUCAACUCUGGACCUUGAAGCCUGUGACCAUUCUUUUUUAUUUUUUUAUUGUUUCCCUCUAAUUAGGUUUUGAUUUAGACCUGGGACACCAGAGCCCUAUAUAACCUGCUCAAGUUGUACAACUGAUGUAUAUGCAUUUGGCGGUUGUAAUAAAGGUGUUCUGAACAAAAAUAACUUUGAGGUAGUAUUUGAACCAGGCUAGGACCUGGGGGGAUACUACAAGGUAGGUUCAAUGACUUAGCCAGAUAACUUUGUUAAACAAGCUGAAAUAAAUGUAUUUUCUGGUUCAUAAACAAAGCUAAAUGUAGGUGUUUAUGGUUGAGUUAAGCUUGAAAUGGGCAUGGUCUGCCUUAUCUUUCAAAUAAACCAAGUUAUUUCAGCAGUGGAGGCUGCCUCACAUUAACCAGGCAAGUAAGUGAUGAACAAAUUUACAAUGACAGCCUAGGAACAGUGGGUUAAACUCCCUUGUUAAGAGGCAGAACAGAUGUGUAACUUGUCAGCCCAGGGAUUCGAUCUAGCAACCUGUCGGUUACUGGCCCAAUGCUCUAACCAAUGCCACCCCAUAAUGUCUCAAAUUUCCAUACUAUUUUGUCAGAUAAAAACACUGAUCACUUUCAACAUUUCCAGACUGUAGCUAUUGAGUCAGUCAAUUUCCUGCGCAGGAAAUGUCUUUAAUAGGUUGUAAUCGAUGUUAGCAUUUUCAUUGUGAUGCAUUGCCAAUAAGCAGUAAUCUUCAGAACGCCACAUUGUUGACCACAGCAGGGAUAAUAGUCAGCCCAAAAACCAUGUUAAGAUCUAAACUGUGGUAUCCUUUAUGCUCAACAUCAAGCAUACUCCAGUCCAAAUUUCACUCCUUGUACUUGAAAGUUCAUUCAACAGGCAAAGUACUUCUAAGUACACUGUGCAAUUUGGGAAGCAGGCUGUUCUCUUAUUUAGUCAGCACCCUUCACCCUUAACCACAAGAGGUUGGUGGCAACUUAAUUAGGGAGGACAGGCUUGUGGUAAUGGCAUCAGAUGCCAUUCACUCCUUUCCAGACAUUAUGAGCCAUCCUCCCUUCAGCAGCCUCCACUGGUGCAACACUUAAAAUCAAGGAUUGAUACUACCAGCAGCACAGACACAGAGAAAGUUAUUUCAAAAAGUUUGGUUUUAUUUGAUAAUACUGUCGUAUAUUUUUGUCCAGCAACUGAACGUCCACAAAGGAUUAAACAUGCAUAGUCUGGAUGUACUCAAACUCAACCCCUUUAUCCCCCCUCCAUACAAUGUGUACAUCAGAAAGCAUUGGAUAAGGUAGAAGAAA